CUAGCGGCGUGGAUAAGACAUGCAAGUCGAGCGGAGCUUUCCCCGGUAGCAAUACUGGGAAAGUCGAGCGGCAAACGGGUGAGUAACACGUGAGCAACCUGCCGGGAAGUGGGGGAUAGCUCGCCGAAAGGCGAAUUAAUACCGCAUAUGGCCAGAAGCGACAUCGCUUCGACGCCAAAGCAGCAAUGCGCUUCCCGAUGGGCUCGCGGCCUAUCAGCUUGUUGGUGAGGUAACGGCUCACCAAGGCAUCGACGGGUAACUGGUUUGAGAGGAUGAUCAGUCACACUGGAACUGAGACACGGUCCAGACACCUACGGGUGGCAGCAGUCGAGAAUCAUUCACAAUGGGCGCAAGCCUGAUGGUGCGACGCCGCGUGGAGGAUGAAGGUUUUCGGAUCGUAAACUCCUGUCAUCUGGGAACAAAGCUCUUCGAGCCUGAUAGUACCAGAAGAGGAAGAGACGGCUAACUCUGUGCCAGCAGCCGCGGUAAUACAAAGGUCUCGAGCGUUGUUCGGAUUCAUUGGGCGUAAAGGGUGCGUAGGCGGCGCCGUAAGUCGGAUGUGAAAGCCCGGGGCUCAACCCCGGAAUUGCAUUCGAUACUGCGGUGCUAGAGGACUGGAGAGGAGACUGGAAUUCACAGUGUAGCAGUGAAAUGCGUAGAUAUUGUGAGGAAGGCCAGUGGCGAAGGCGGGUCUCUGGACAGUUCCUGACGCUGAGGCACGAAGGCUAGGGUAGCGAACGGGAUUAGAUACCCCGGUAGUCCUAGCAGUAAACGGUGCACGUUUGGUGUGGGAGGAUUCGACCCCUUCCGUGCCGGAGCUAACGCGUUAAACGUGCCGCCUGGGGAGUACGGCCGCAAGGUUAAAACUCAAAGAAAUUGACGGGGGCCCGCACAAGCGGUGGAGUAUGUGGCUUAAUUCGAUGCAACGCGAAGAACCUUACCUGGCCUUGACAUGCAGGGAUUAACUGGGUGAAAGCCCGGGGAUUGCCCUUUGGGUGUAACCUGCACAGGUGCUGCAUGGCUGUCGUCAGCUCGUGUCGUGAGAUGUUGGGUUAAGUCCCGCAACGAGCGCAACCCCUGUGAGCUGUUGCCACCUCGCAAGAGAGCACUCUGCUCAGACUGCCCUGUGAAACGGGGAGGAAGGUGGGGAUGACGUCAAGUCAGUAUGGCCCUUACGGCCAGGGCUGCACACGUACUACAAUGCCCAGUACAGAAUGAACCGAGACCGCGAGGUGGAGGAAAUCUAUAAAACUGGGCUCAGUUCGGAUCGCAGGCUGCAACUCGCCUGCGUGAAGCCGGAAUCGCUAGUAAUGGCGCAUCAGCUACGGCGCCGUGAAUACGUUCCCGGGCCUUGUACACACCGCCCGUCACAUCAUGGAAGUCACUUGUAGCCGAAGUGCGUGUGCCAAC
rnacentral:rRNA from 1 species